rnacentral:rRNA from 1 species
GUUGACCUCGAAUCAGGUAGGACUACCCGCUGAACUUAAGCAUAUCAAUAAGCGGAGGAAAAGAAACCAACAGGGAUUGCCCCAGUAACGGCGAGUGAAGCGGCAACAGCUCAAAUUUGAAAUCUGGUCCCCAGGGCCCGAGUUGUAAUUUGCAGAGGAUGCUUUUGGUGAGGUGCCUUCCGAGUUCCCUGGAACGGGACGCCAUAGAGGGUGAGAGCCCCGUCUGGUUGGAUACCGAGCCUCUGUAAAGCUCCUUCGACGAGUCGAGUAGUUUGGGAAUGCUGCUCUAAAUGGGAGGUAUAUGUCUUCUAAAGCUAAAUAUUGGCCAGAGACCGAUAGCGCACAAGUAGAGUGAUCGAAAGAUGAAAAGCACUUUGAAAAGAGGGUUAAAUAGUACGUGAAAUUGUUGAAAGGGAAGCACUUAUGACCAGACUUGGCCCCGGUGAAUCAUCCAGCGGUUCCCGUUGGUGCACUUUGCCGGGGUUCAGGCCAGCAUCAGUUCGCUCCGGGGGAUAAAGGCUUUGGGAAUGUGGCUCCCUCGGGAGUGUUAUAGCCCAUUGCGCAAUACCCUGUGGCGGGCUGAGGUUCGCGCUUUAUGCAAGGAUGCUGGCAUAAUGGUCAUCAGUGACCCGUCUUGAAACACGGACCAAGGAGUCGUCUUCGUAUGCGAGUGUUCGGGUGUUAAACCCCUACGCGUAAUGAAAGUGAACGCAGGUGAGAGCCCUCCAGGGCGCAUCAUCGACCGAUCCUGAUGUUCUCGGAUGGAUUUGAGUAAGAGCAUACGGGGCCGGACCCGAAAGAAGGUGAACUAUGCCUGUAUAGGGUGAAGCCAGAGGAAACUCUGGUGGAGGCUCGCAGCGGUUCUGACGUGCAAAUCGAUCGUCAAAUAUGGGCAUGGGGGCGAAAGACUAAUCGAACCUUCUAGUAGCUGGUUUCCGCCGAAGUUUCCCUCAGGAUAGCAGUGUUGAUUU